AGCGAACGUUUGCGGCGGGCCUAACACAUGCAAGUCGAACGCACUAGCAAUAGUGAGUGGCGCACGGGUGCGUAACACGUGGGUAAUCAACCCUUCAGCUUGGGAUAACGACUUGAAAGGGUCGCUAAUACCGGAUACGGCGCGGGAGGCUUCGGCUUCUCACGAGAAAGCCUCGCAAGGGGCACUGAAGGACGAGCCUGCGGCCCAUCAGCUAGUUGGUGAGGUAAGAGCUCACCAAGGCGAAGACGGGUAGCUGGUCUGAGAGGAUGAUCAGCCACACUGGAACUGAGACACGGUCCAGACUCCUACGGGAGGCAGCAGUGGGGAAUAUUGCGCAAUGGGCGAAAGCCUGACGCAGCCACGCCGCGUGAGCGAUGAAGGCCUCGGUCGUAAAGACGUCUGUGGGGAGAGACGAAGAAAGACCCGUGAAGAGACGGGCCGUUGACGGUAGUCUCCUUAGCAAGCACCGGCUAACU
rnacentral:rRNA from 1 species